rnacentral:rRNA from 1 species
AACGCUGGCGGCAGGCUUAACACAUGCAAGUCGAGCGGGGAAAGGUAGCUUGCUACCUGACCUAGCGGCGGACGGGUGAGUAAUGCUUAGGAAUCUGCCUAUUAGUGGGGGACAACAUUCCAAAAGGAAUGCUAAUACCGCAUACGCCCUACGGGGGAAAGCAGGGGAUCUUCGGACCUUGCGCUAAUAGAUGAGCCUAAGUCAGAUUAGCUAGUUGGUGGGGUAAAGGCCUACCAAGGCGACGAUCUGUAGCGGGUCUGAGAGGAUGAUCCGCCACACUGGGACUGAGACACGGCCCAGACUCCUACGGGAGGCAGCAGUGGGGAAUAUUGGACAAUGGGCGAAAGCCUGAUCCAGCCAUGCCGCGUGUUUGAAGAAGGCCUUUUGGUUGUAAAGCACUUUAAGCGAGGAGGAGGCUACUUAGAUUAAUACUCUAGGAUAGUGGACGUUACUCGCAGAAUAAGCACCGGCUAACUCUGUGCCAGCAGCCGCGGUAAUACAGAGGGUGCGAGCGUUAAUCGGAUUUACUGGGCGUAAAGCGUGCGUAGGCGGCUUUUUAAGUCGGAUGUGAAAUCCCUGAGCUUAACUUAGGAAUUGCAUUCGAUACUGGGAAGCUAGAGUAUGGGAGAGGAUGGUAGAAUUCCAGGUGUAGCGGUGAAAUGCGUAGAGAUCUGGAG